CCUACGGGAGGCAGCAGUGAGGAAUAUUGGUCAAUGGGCGGGAGCCUGAACCAGCCAAGCCGCGUGAGGGAAGAAGGUCCAGCGUAUCGUAAACCUCUUUUGUCAGGGAACAAAGGCGGGGACUAGUCCCCGGCUGAGGGUACCUGAAGAAAAAGCAUCGGCUAACUCCGUGCCAGCAGCCGCGGUAAUACGGAGGAUGCGAGCGUUAUCCGGAUUUAUUGGGUUAAAGGGGUGCGCGGGCGGCCUGUUAAGUCAGCGGUAAAAGCUCGGGGCUCAACCCCGGCGAGCCGUUGAAACUGGCGGGCUGGAGUUGGAGAGAAGGACGCGGAAUGCGUGGUGUAGCGGUGAAAUGCUUAGAUAUCGCGCAGAACCCCGAUUGCGAAGGCAGCGUACCGG
rnacentral:rRNA from 1 species